UGUUGUUAAAGAAGAACGUGGGUGAGAGUAACUGUUCACCCAGUGACGGUAUUUAACCAGAAAGCCACGGCUAACUACGUGCCAGCAGCCGCGGUAAUACGUAGGUGGCAAGCGUUAUCCGGAUUUAUUGGGCGUAAAGCGAGCGCAGGCGGUCUUUUAAGUCUAAUGUGAAAGCCUUCGGCUCAACCGAAGAAGUGCAUUGGAAACUGGGAGACUUGAGUGCAGAAGAGGACAGUGGAACUCCAUGUGUAGCGGUGAAAUGCGUAGAUAUAUGGAAGAACACCAGUGGCGAAGGCGGCUGUCUGGUCUGUAACUGACGCUGAGGCUCGAAAGCAUGGGUAGCGAACAGGAUUAGAUACCCUGGUAGUCCAUGCCGUAAACGAUGAUUACUAAGUGUUGGAGGGUUUCCGCCCUUCAGUGCUGCAGCUAACGCAUUAAGUAAUCCGCCUGGGGAGUACGACCGCAAGGUUGAAACUCAAAAGAAUUGACGGGGGCCCGCACAAGCGGUGGAGCAUGUGGUUUAAUUCGAAGCUACGCGAAGAACCUUACCAGGUCUUGACAUCUUCUGCCAACCUAAGAGAUUAGGCGUUCCCUUCGGGGACAGAAUGACAGGUGGUGCAUGGUUGUCGUCAGCUCGUGUCGUGAGAUGUUGGGUUAAGUCCCGCAACGAGCGCAACCCUUAUUACUAGUUGCCAGCAUUCAGUUGGGCACUCUAGUGAGACUGCCGGUGACAAACCGGAGGAAGGUGGGGACGACGUCAAAUCAUCAUGCCCCUUAUGACCUGGGCUACACACGUGCUACAAUGGAUGGUACAACGAGUCGCGAAACCGCGAGGUUUAGCUAAUCUCUUAAAACCAUUCUCAGUUCGGACUGUAGGCUGCAACUCGCCUACACGAAGUCGGAAUCGCUAGUAAUCGCGGAUCAGCAUGCCGCGGUGAAUACGUUCCCGGGCCUUGUACACACCGCCCGUCACACCAUGAGAGUUUGUAACACCCAAAGCCGGUGGGGUAAC
rnacentral:rRNA from 1 species